rnacentral:sRNA from 1 species
CCACUCUUAGAGGAGCCACAUCUGCUCUGCCGUGGGGGUCCCCUGGGUACAGACAUGGCUAAUGGACCAGGGCCUCUGUCGUCAGGAGAGAGCCAAGCAGGCAGGUGGCAGAUCUGGCACCAGCAUGCCUGCCACCCAGUCAGGCCGGUUGUCCCUCUUUCGUAAGUCUCCAAGGAUUGUGCCACACCUGACCUCAUUUCACUCGCUUACACUUUUUCCUCACAACCCUGUUUGAUGUCUUUCUCCCCAGCUCUGUUUCGUGAUGUUCUGGACACCCAACGUGUCUGAGAAAAUCUUGAUAGACAUCAUUGGAGUGGACUUUGCCUUUGCAGAACUCUGUGUUGUUCCUUUGCGGAUCUUCUCCUUUUUCCCAGUUCCAGUCACAGUGAGGGCACAUCUCACCGGGUGGCUGAUGACGCUGAAGAAAACCUUUGUCCUGGCCCCCAGCUCUGUGCUGCGGAUCAUCGUCCUCAUCGCCAGCCUCGUGGUCCUGCCCUAUCUGGGGGUGCAUGGUGCAACCCUGGGCGUGGGCUCCCUCCUGGCAGGCUUUGUGGGAGAAUCCACCAUGGUCGCCAUUGCCGCGUGCUAUGUCUACCGGAAGCAGAAAAAGAAGAUGGAGAACGAGUCGGCCACGGAGGGGGAAGACUCUGCCAUGACAGACAUGCCUCCGACAGACGAGGUGACAGACAUCGUGGAAAUGAGAGAGGAGAAUGAAUAAGGCACGGGACGCCAUGGGCACUGCAGGGACAGUCAGGAUGACACUUCGGCAUCAUCUCUUCCCUCUCCCAUCGUAUUUUGUUCCCUUUUUUUUCUGUUUUGG